GCAUGGAGCCGGCCUUGAAAUACCACCCUUUAAUGUUUGAUGUUCUAACGUUGGCCCCUGAUCGGGGUUGCGGACAGUGUCUGGUGGGUAGUUUGACUGGGGCGGUCUCCUCCUAAAGAGUAACGGAGGAGCACGAAGGUUGGCUAAUCCUGGUCGGACAUCAGGAGGUUAGUGCAAUGGCAUAAGCCAGCUUGACUGCGAGCGUGACGGCGCGAGCAGGUGCGAAAGCAGGUCAUAGUGAUCCGGUGGUUCUGAAUGGAAGGGCCAUCGCUCAACGGAUAAAAGGUACUCCGGGGAUAACAGGCUGAUACCGCCCAAGAGUUCAUAUCGACGGCGGUGUUUGGCACCUCGAUGUCGGCUCAUCACAUCCUGGGGCUGAAGUAGGUCCCAAGGGUAUGGCUGUUCGCCAUUUAAAGUGGUACGCGAGCUGGGUUUAGAACGUCGUGAGACAGUUCGGUCCCUAUCUGCCGUGGGCGCUGGAGAACUGAGGGGGGCUGCUCCUAGUACGAGAGGACCGGAGUGGACGCAUCACUGGUGUUCGGGUUGUCAUGCCAAUGGCACUGCCCGGUAGCUAAAUGCGGAAGAGAUAAGUGCUGAAAGCAUCUAAGCACGAAACUUGCC
rnacentral:rRNA from 1 species